CAGUCUAAUUAUUCAAGGCAGAAACUAAUCACAUGUGUCAACCCCGUUGGGGCUGCACACGCAGAUACAUUACAGGCUUGCAUAUGUGCGCAGGACAGCGCCGGAAUUUAUGGCUUGAACAGACAUCGACCCAACAAGGGGCGGGGGCACACAGAUGUUACAGGUGAUGCCGGAAUGGAUGGGGAUGUGGCAUUAGGAGGGGAUGUGGGCUCGUUGAGCUCAUAAUUACAGCCAGCAGAGGGCCACAAAUCGAUGCUAUUGAAACUUUCAGCAGGGAACAGUGUUUUUGCAUAUUUUAGUUGCGAUAAAAGAGUAGGAAUUAUGAAAAUGAAAAUGUUUAUUAUUAUCGUUGGCGCACACGGACUCCUGUCGACCGAGAUGACAAAGCAUAAUAAAUUGCCCGAUUUUGCUCCGGUCUGGCCUGGCCUGGUCCUGGCCCCUGGCCGCAAUGCAGUGUUUUAAUGAAUUUUUAAUUAGUAGCAAUUAAUAUGGUAAUUUGUUCAGUUCCAAUCGCUGAGUGCCACGAUUGCGACACUAGCAAUUCUGAAUGCGAUUUCACAGGACCUACCCUUUUUUACUGAUGUGGGUUUAUGGCGUAACCUAGACAGAUCAAAAACUAAUGGCAUUUGGUCUCCAAUAAUUGAGAUUUUCAAACGAUUUUUUAAGUACUCUAAAGAGUAUGAAUAAUC